rnacentral:rRNA from 1 species
UACGAAGGGGGCUAGCGUUGCUCGGAAUCACUGGGCGUAAAGGGUGCGUAGGCGGGUCUUUAAGUCAGGGGUGAAAUCCUGGAGCUCAACUCCAGAACUGCCUUUGAUACUGAGGAUCUUGAGUACGGGAGAGGUGAGUGGAACUGCGAGUGUAGAGGUGAAAUUCGUAGAUAUUCGCAAGAACACCAGUGGCGAAGGCGGCUCACUGGCCCGUUACUGACGCUGAACACGAAAGCGUGGGUAGCAAACAGG